rnacentral:rRNA from 1 species
CUACGGGAGGCAGCAGUGGGGAAUCUUAGACAAUGGGGGAAACCCUGAUCUAGCCAUGCCGCGUGAGUGAUGAAGGCCCUAGGGUCGUAAAGCUCUUUCGCCAGGGAUGAUAAUGACAGUACCUGGUAAAGAAACCCCGGCUAACUCCGUGCCAGCAGCCGCGGUAAUACGGAGGGGGUUAGCGUUGUUCGGAAUUACUGGGCGUAAAGCGCGCGUAGGCGGAUUAGAAAGUUGGGGGUGAAAUCCCGGGGCUCAACCCCGGAACUGCCUCCAAAACUACUAGUCUAGAGUUCGAGAGAGGUGAGUGGAAUUCCGAGUGUAGAGGUGAAAUUCGUAGAUAUUCGGAGGAACACCAGUGGCGAAGGCGGCUCACUGGCUCGAUACUGACGCUGAGGUGCGAAAGUGUGGGGAGCAAACAGGAUUAGAUACCCUGGUAGUCCACACCGUAAACGAUGAAUGCCAGUCGUCGGGGCGCUUGCGCUUCGGUGACACACCUAACGGAUUAAGCAUUCCGCCUGGGGAGUACGGUCGCAAGAUUAAAACUCAAAGGAAUUGACGGA